AAAAUUAACUUGUAUGAGUAACUGCAUGAGAUAGUUAAAAGGAUCCUGAUGGUCUAUCUUUAUAAUUUGAAACUUAACCAUGAAAAACACCCAACUUAAAAAAGUGUCAAUAAAAGAUGUCACUUGCUGUGAGAAAAUAGCUGGCUUUCACUCGCUACUUUUUAGUAAUUUUAUUUAACGUUUAUUAAGAAAAUUGCAAUGAUGCAAGUAGGGUUCAUUGAAUUACUAAGAUAAAAAUUUUACAAUUAAUUUCAACGAUACAACGUAAAAACUACGCGGUGAAAAAAAAGGAAGAGACCGACCAAGUCGCCUGGAUCAAACUGACCAGGACAACCCUUGGAAAUCAGAGUAGCUAUGUCUGUAGGCCUUCUAACUGGACAAUGAAUGAACGACGAAGUCGGGCAGAAACACCAAGAAACAAGCGUCGUUAUUAUAAGAUGCACACUUGCUAAUUUAUUUAUCCAUAAUGUCUAUCAGUAUAACGCAUUUUCAAAUUCGACCG